rnacentral:rRNA from 1 species
GACAGAGGGUGCAAACGUUGUUCGGAAUUACUGGGCGUAAAGCGCGUGUAGGCGGCUUGUCAAGUCGGGUGCGAAAGCCCUGGGCUUAACCUAGGAAGUGCACACGAAACUGCCGAGCUUGAAUUCGGGAGAGGGAUGCAGAAUUCCAGGUGUAGCGGUGAAAUGCGUAGAUAUCUGGAGGAAUACCGGUGGCGAAGGCGGCAUCCUGGACCGACAUUGACGCUGAGGAGCGAAAGCUAGGGGAGCAAACGGG